GGCCCCCCGCAGGAGGGGUCCUCGCGGAGCGCGGCGGGACGCCGUCGUCCCCGGGAGGGGGCACCGUUCCAGGCCCGGCCGCGGCCCCGGCAGGAGGAGUGGCAUCCGGUGAGGGGAGCCCCCCGGGGAGGGGGUCCUUCGGGAGAACGACGGCCGGCGACGCAGCCCUCAUUCUGGUUUGUAUACAGUGAGAGCGCGCGUUCCUCGAUUUUUUUCAAGUAAUCCUUCUUUCUCUGACUUCCUCAAAUAAGAGUAAUAAUUUUCAGUAAACACCAUGUGCCAGUUACUGUGUUAAGCUUAUAUAUAACGUACAUAUAAAUAUAUAAAAUGUCUUGAUUUAUAUGUAAAUAAAAUGUUUCAGAUCUUUUAAUCUGGUCAGCACUCUAUUAGGUAGGGAUGAUUAUUAACCCCAUUUUUCUUUUUUUUUUAAAGAUACGUUUAAGCACAGAAAUGUUCAAUACUUUGCCCCAGGCCACGUGCCCAGGAAGGUGAUAGAGGCCUGUCUGGCUCCGGAAUUUACCUAUGGCGCUGGGUUGGGAGAGGCUCAAGUGGGGACUCAGCAAGGCUGAUUUCUCGGCCCAGCGGUGGGGCCGCCCGGAGCUCCCCAAUUCGACUCUUCCAGGGGGCGCAGGGCUGUACCCGGCCCAGCUCCAGCUCCAGCUCCGGGGCGCAGUCAGGUGCCGUGUGCUGGGUGCUCAGCAGCGCUGAGCCUUUCCAACACUAAGUACCGAGUGCACCUCGCGCUUUGGAGGAGGUGUCCUGUCCGAUGAGAGGGGGCCUCCGGGAGCCCGGGGAGAGCGACGGGGGCCUCCCUACCUCCUUGGCUCAGAGCUAGAUGUGCAAAUCGCUGCUGUCUGCAGAGGUCACUGUAAGCCAGCGAAAUCGUCCUGCUGCUGAGGCGGCGUGGAAGGGUUCCCCAUCCAGGGAGGGGCAGAAGAAAAGCCAGGGUAUCUCUCCCUUCCCUUCCUUCACUGGCAACACUGUUAGGUCAACGAUGUCCUGUCCUUCUCCUAAAUGGUUGACUGCAGAGAGAUCAUUCUUCAUCUCUACACGUGCUUCAAGAUAGGGAUGGUCCUUAGCAGAAUCUUAAGGUUGCCUAUUUUAAUUAUUUUUAAAAUUGGACCUAAAGACAAAAAAUGUACAUAAAGUGAAAUGGAGCCCAAGUCACUGGUGCAUAGUAUUGAUUUGAUUAUCCAGGGAGACUUUUUUUUUUUUUAAGAAAAAUUCUACAGUGUUCUUAAGAUACCUACCAACUUGAUAUUCUGAGCCAACUUCCAUUAUCAGAUGCUUUUCAGAACUCAUGGUGACCAGCAAGCUGGAAAUACUCCAGCACCCUUGGCUCAUCCAGGAACGAACUAAGGAUGAGUGACUUGCCCACAGCCCCUUAGUUAAUUAGUUGCAGUAUGGGGACCCCUAGGACAGUGUUCUAGGGACUAGACAAUGGGAGGGCCACCAGGUAGGGGCACAGUGGCCCCUGGAACCACAUCUUGAUCCCUUCUGCUUGACUCUCAGGGAGUUCCCUGACUUCAUAAGGAAUGGGUUUAACAAAUAAUCCUUGGGAUCCACAAUCUUAAUCUGUUAAAACACACUUAACUAUAUCAGAUGCUCCAUUCAUUAAAAAAGUAACACUGAGUGCCUCCUGGGCACAAGGCCCUGGCUGAUCACGAAUAAAUGGAGACACAUGACUUCUGCCUUCCAGGAGCUUCCAGGAUCACAAGGGAGAAAAGACAUAAACACAAAUAACCAGGCAAUAAAAGCAGAAGCACGGAUCUGUCAAACAUUUCCUUUGUGGUUUCUUCCACAGCUUUGAAGCUUAGAAAGCCCUUCCCUGUGCACAGGGCAGUUGGGGAAGGGAGUUCCCAGGUGAGGGAUACAAUGGGGCCUUGGCCUGGAGGCCAGAGGUGAGGCAACUGUGGGUGCCCGGAUUGGACUCGUAGUUUGGGGACAGAUCAGGGACGCUUUUUAAGGCUGUGCUGUAGGGUUCCAGACAGGGGAGCCACUGAGAGUUUCCAAGCUGAGAGAAGACAUAGGGAAGGGGCUGCAAGAACAGAUUCUGUGUCUUCAGGAUGAGACCUGAAUAUUGGAACAUCUGAGGUUCGCUGGGACCAAUAUGGAACCUAUUCUGGAAAGCUCUUACGGGAAGCCCAAAGUUCAUAGCUCAGUAAAACUUGAGAACUCUCUCCUCUUCCUUGUGAGUCUGCAGCCAUUUUGGGAUUGGAGGGUGAUGUUUCUGUUCUGAUUCUGUUACUAUCAGCACUGGGAAGGAUCUCCCAGGGCUGCAGAUUUCCCUCUUUCUUCACAGCAAAGUGAUAACUUCUUGCUCUUUUUGCCCACAACGUUGUGAUACCUUCUCUCGCCCUCCCCAGUCCAGGCGGUUCUGUGAACCUUGGGAGCAGGCCUUCACUUCUCUGCCUUUAACGUAAAUGGUAGUUGCCAUAACCGAUUCUGCUAGAGAAACCACACUUGAGCUAUUUGUAAAAUCUCUGGGAAGGAGUUCAUCUGGGUGGUCAGAUUUUCGGUGAAUUAAAAGCUUACUCCUUAGAAGACUAGAUCGUAGUUUCUGAUUAGACACCCUACAGAGAUGUAUUUUACCUCUUGGCCCUUUCGUUCAUUCCUUUGAAAAGAAAGUAUAAUACAUUCUUAGAGGAAAUACUUAAAGAUGUAAAGAUGGCAAAUGAAAUAAAGAUGUAAGGAUGGCCAGGAAUCCCUGCACCCCAACGCAAACAUUUCCGGUUCUUUCCCUCCCGUCUUCCAGAGCGUGUGCGUGCUGUAGGACGUAGAUCCUCGUACAGGCUCUCCCAUGUCACUGGCCAGAGCCUGGCCACAGAGAGACAGACAGACAGACAUAGAGAGAGCACAAGCAGGGGGAGCAGCAGAGGGAGAAGGAGUAGCAGACUCUCCACUGAGCAGGGAGCCUGAUGUGGGGCUCGAUCCCAGGACCCUGGGAUCGUGACCUGAGCCGAAGGCAGACGCUUAACCGACUGAGCCACCCAGCUUCCUACUUCUGCUGAAGUAGUUCUUAGGAAUCCAUCGCCGGGGAUGGAAUUCCCGAGUCAAAAGACCAUACCCUGCUUCCAGCUCUUCCACCACUGUCAUCCAUUGCUUCUGGAAGGAUGGUCCUGGUCUUCAGCGCUGCGGGCAUCCAAAUGGUAGACUGAGGCCACUUCAGCUUUAUCUACAAAACGUUGCCCGCGGGACAUAAAAUGACCCUCCGUCAUCAAGAAAAUGGCAAGUGAUGGACAGUGGUCACUUCUGGGCUACAAUACAGUGGUGCCUGGUGGGGCGUCUGUAUCGUGAAGAACCGAUGACUCUUCUCUAAGAGGCACGAGAUAGUAGAUCCUCUGGAUGUAUUACAACCAAACUGGUUUAGAAAUUGCAUUUUCUGCUACCUCAAGGGAAGGCUGCAGUAUAUCCACCUAUAAAAUGGGGAUCAUAACACCAAACGCCCAGGACGGUUGUGAAGAUUACAGGGAUCAUGGACGUAGCAUUCCUAGCACCUUAUGUAGUAGGCGCCCAACAAAUGUUGGUUCUCUGGCUCUCUCCCUCUCCCAUGUCCUCUUCUUAGUUUAGCAAGUGUCACAUAGUUUACGCUCACUGGCUGAAAUACGUCCUGUGAUACGUCCUUGGUUUCUCCUGGAGGAAAAAAAAAAGUAUAGUAUUCUUUGCCUAAUUAUAAUAGUGAUACAUGUUCACCAAAUAAAAAUUUGGAAAGUGUGGGAAAGUACAAAGAAGGAAAUAAACAUUACCCGCAAUUUCACGCCCCAGAUCUGCCCCUGCGAACAUCUGGGUGUGUCUCCUCCGGGGUGUUGGGCCACUUCUUAUUCUCAGAAUUCUAAGGUGUGGCUCUGGGGCAGUGUGACACCUCUGUCCAGGCCCCAGUGACACCGAGGAUGAGGGUUCGUGGGAACUAUGGGGUCCCAGCUGUGAGGGGUGUCCUGGAGAGGGCCUCCCCUUUGGCGGCCAACGGGAGGCCCACGGGACUCAAGGCACGGUCCUCACCACCCACAGAGAGCAAGACAGGGAAAGCCUGGACAACAGGAUGGGGCUUUCUUCGCCCCUCUCGCCCUGAAAGGCCCUGACCAAACUCCACCAGACAUGGGGCUCUCCCUGUCUCUGGGCCUCAGUUCCCUCAUCUGUCAAAGGAGCAGAAGGGCCUUGAUUUUCAGGACCAACAUUGUGUGACGCCAGAGAUGUAUGGGAAGAAUAAAGGGCUUUGAAGCUUGCAGGGCCUUACCCAGAGUACACCCUCGUUAUUUCUCUGGUGCCCUCAUGGCUUCCCUCUUAGAAAAGAAGAGGACAAACCUCCUACCAGCCUCGGAUCGCGUUGGGACCUGGGCCAGCUCAGGUCGGCCUCCUCAGCUGCCCUUAGAGUACCUGAGUCGGGCACGCAAGCCCUCUGGGAGGGCACGACGAGGCCUCUGAGGGGAUAUGAUCCACUGGUGGCACUGUGGCUAGAGAGAGACGGCAGAGGUUCAUAUCCCAGCGCCACCACUCACUGGCUGUGUGACCUCAGGCAAGUUAUGUAACUGCUCUGUGCCUCCCUCAUCUCUAAAUCGGGAAGAUGAUGGAAACGACGUGUGGAUUAAAUGCGUUAAUCGGCACGAGGUCCCUAGAACAGCGCUCGACACACAGUAGGUGCUAUGUGAGCGUUAGUGAAACCAGUGAGGGCUCCGAGGUGUGCUCUUGAGAAUUGUGAACUGAUCCCCAAAAUGCAGAUGUGUUUGACAUGAAAGUGAAAGUUCUCUUCCUCCACCUACUCUCACUCUCCUGAAGUAACCACUGUGAACAGUUCAGUGGGCCACCUUCCAGAUCUUUCUCUAGGCAUACACAGUGAUCAUAUGUAUCUAGGGUUUUCUUUUAGAAACAACAAAUCAUGCAGGUUGCUCUGCAGCUUGCUUUCUCCCUUGGACUGUCAUAGGCCUACCUUGGCGUCUGGACGCGCAGACCCACAGCUGUUCGAUUUAUGCUUCUAGUCCUCUCCUCGUGGACAAUUACGCAAUUUCCAGUUUCUUCGACUAUACAAAGCGCAGGAAGGAUGUUCUUACUCCCAAAGGAGGGUCCCUAGGGGGAGGGGGCGCAGGGGACAGAGCUGUGCGUCCGUCGGCGCUCCUCUGGGAGGACCGAGUCAGAGGCGGUGGUUGUCUGCCCUUCUGGGCACUGGAUUCUGAGUGGUUCUAACAUGUCACCGUGGGAGGAUGCUCCCCACACGCCCAAAGCAGGCAAGGGCCUGCCCGGGAGGGUCUCUCUUGGAAAGGAAGAUGACUGUGCAGGCUGGGGGGGAGGAUAGAGAGAAUUCAGCUGGCCCCGGGACCCCUUUCUCACCGUUUCCUUUACAAAAAUUAUGAGUAAAAUCAAAAUAGUUUGUAAUUUUAUUAUGAAAACCAUCAGAUGUACAGAAAAGAUGCAGGAAUAGUCCAACAGGGGCCCCUGGGUGGCUUGUUUGGCUGAGCAUCCGACUCUUGGUUUUGGCUCAGGUCAUGAUCUUGGGGUUGUGGGAUCGAGCCCCGUGUCAAGCUCUGCGCUCAUUGCAGAGUCUGCUUGGGAUUCUCUCUCUCCCUCUGCCCCUCCCCCCGCUUGCGUGUGCGUGCUCUUUCUCUCUCUCUCAAAUAAAUAAAUAAAUAAAAUAUUUGAAAAAAAAAAAAAGAAUAGCCCAA